GCCAUGGUUUGGCUACGGAGUUUUGUGUUGAUGGGCAAGGCUAGCUUCUUGAGGUCUCUAUAUAAAGACUAAGGAGGUUGGUCUUUGCUCAUUCAAAGGGUGAUGAAACAAAAGUUAUAAAAUCUAUACACGGUUGCUCUUGGGAUCGGCCAAGCAAACUUCCAAGAACAAUCCAACUUGUAUAAAUAUAAAGAAACUUCAUUUCAUUAUCUUGCUUCGAUGUAGCUUGACCAGGAUCUCCUUAGAGCUGCAUUGAAUUGUACGUGCCACCGUCCUGCUGCUUGAAGAUGAAGAGGAAGAUGAACAAAUCUUUACAUAAAAAUGUGUUUCAUUUUUUUUUUUUCAAAAGAAAGGGAAAAGAAAAAGAGGGGCGGGGGGGUAAGGAGUGGGUUAAAAAGGAUAGAAAAAGCUUGCGGAAUCAGAAGAGUUUUCGGAGCAUGAAUUUAAAGUCAGGUUAUAUUUCAAAAAUUUAUAAGCUACAUCAAUGUUGUUACCAAAAACCAAAAAAAUAUUAAUGCUAGAUGUGAGAUUU